rnacentral:rRNA from 1 species
AUGAGGCUGUACAUCACGGCGGCGGCCGGCGACGACGACGCGACGAAGCCGAAGGCGCCGCAGCUGCAGGCGGCGCGGCGAGGCUACCGUUCCGUUGUGGUCACGGGGCUCCUGGCCGGCGUGCUCCUCUUCCGCGCCGCGCUCCUCGCCAUCGAGACCGGCGCCUCCCUCUGCCCUUCCGCCACCGGUUGCUCGGACUGGAGGGCGGGGCUCGGGCGCUGGCUCUACGGCGGCGGCGGCGACGCGACGGAGGAAUUUAUGAGAGAGUGGAAGAGAAGCCACAGGGUGGCUACCCUGCUGGACCCCGUGGUGGUGGAAGCGGCACCGGAUUCCUUGGACGGUCUCAUGGCGGAGAUGGACACCAUUCUGGCCUCCUAUGAUCGGCUUGACAUGGAAGACGUGGUCGUGAAGAUAAUGGCCAUGCUGCUAAAGAUGGACCGGAAGCUCAAGUCGUCAAGAAUCCAGACUCUGUUCAACCGGCACCUGGCCUCGCUCGGCAUCCCCAAGAGCAUGCACUGCCUGGCGCUGCGGCUGGCCGAGGAGUUCGCGGUGAACUCCGCGGCCCGCUCCCCAGUGCCGUUGCCGCAGUACGCCCCUCGCCUAACAGAUGCCUCUCGCGUCCACGUCUGCCUCGUCACCGACAACGUUCUUGCGGCCGCCGUGGCCGUGGCGUCCGCCGUCCGGAGCUCGGCCGGCCCGUCGAGGCUCGUGUUCCACGUCGUCACCGACAAGAAGAGCUACGUCCCGAUGCACUCGUGGUUCGCGCUGCACCCGGUUGCUCCGGCGGUCGUCGAGGUCAAGGGCCUCCACCAGUUCGACUGGCGCGACGGCGAUGCCAUCGCCUCUGUCAUGAGGACCAUCGACGAGGUCCAGAAGAGCUCGCUGGAUUAUCACCAGCUGUGCGAUGGAUCGGUGGAGAGGGAGUACAGGAGGCUUGAGGCCACCAAGCCGAGCACGUUUUCGAUCCUCAACUAUCUCAAAAUCCAUCUCCCAGAGUUCUUCCCGGAGCUCCCGAGGGUGAUACUGCUCGACGACGACGUCGUGGUGCGCAAGGAUCUGGCCGGGCUGUGGGAGCAGGACCUGGACGGGAACAUCAUGGGCGCGGUCGGCGCGCACCGGCCCGGCGCGGACGGUGGCAUAUGCAUCGAGAGGACUCUCAGCGAGCACCUCAACUUCACUGACCCUGCAGUGUCGUCGCUAGGCCUCGACGGUUCGCACUGCGCGUGGUCCUGGGGCGCCACCAUCGUCGACCUCGACGCUUGGCGAGGAGCGAACGUUACCGAGACGUAUCAGCUAUGGCUGCAAAAGAACCGCGAAUCAGGGUUCAGGCUGUGGAAGAUGGGGUCGCUGCCGCCGGCCCUGAUAGCGUUGGACGGUCGGGUGCAGGCGAUCGAGCCGCUGUGGCACCUGCCGGACCUCGGCCGGCGCAUGCCCGACGCCGAGCUGCUGCAGCUCUCCGCCGUCCUGCAUUUCAGCGGGCCGCGGAAGCCGUGGCUGGAGGUGGCGUUCCCGGAGCUGCGGGAGCUGUGGCUCGGGCACUUGAAUAACUCGGACAGCUUCCUACGAGGCUGUGGCGUAGUGGAAUGA